GGAUUUGAUGAUAACUUUUGACGCCCAGUCUUACGUGCUCCUUUGGUGCAGCGUGGUGAAAUUAACUGUCUGAUCC